rnacentral:lncRNA from 1 species
CGGGAUUCCACCGCAGGACUCCGAAGAGCCACAAUGUGAAGAAAGUCCUUGUACCCUUCGCCUUCCGCCAUAAUGCUUUAAAAAAAAAAGUCUGGGGCCGGGCGUGGUGGCUCACGCCUUUAAUCUCAACACUUUGGGAGGCUGAGCGGGUGGAUCACCUGACGUCGGGAGUUCGAGACCAGCCUGACCAACAUGGAGUUACCCCAUCUCUACUAAAAAUACAAAAUUAGCUGGGUGUGGUGGCGCAUACCUGUAAUCCCAGCUACUUGGGAAGCUGAGGCAGGAGAAUCGCUUGAACCUGGGAGGCAGAGGUUGCGGUGGGCCGAGAUCGCACCAUUGCGCUCCAGCCUGGGCAACGAGAGCAAAACUCGGUCUCAAAAAAAAAAAAUAGUCUGGAAACAAUUCAAAUGUAUAUCAAUAGGAGGAUGGGAAGACAAAUUGUGGGCCCAGCACAAUGACUUAACACCUGUAAUCCCAACACUCUGGGAGGCCAAGCCAUGAGGAUCACUGGAGGCCAGGAGUUUGAGACUAGCCUGAGCAACAUAGCGAGACUCUGUCUUUACCAAAAAAAAAUUAAAACUUAGCUGAGCAUGUUGGCACAUGCCUGGAGUCCCAGCUACUUGGGAGGCUGAGGCAAGAGAAUUGCAUGAAUCCAGGAGUUCAAGGUUGCAGUGAGGCGUGAUCACACCACUGUACUUCACCCUGGGUGAGAGCAAGACCUUGUCUUAAAAAAGUAAAAGAGUAAAACAAAUUGUGAUACAGUCAUACGAUGGAGUACUAUUGAGCAAGUCAAAGGAAAGGACUGCUGAUACAACAUGGACAAAUCUCAAAAACAUUGCAUUUGGCAAAAGAAGCCAGACACAGAGUACAUAGCAUAUGAAGCCAUUUAUAUAAAAUUUAAGAACAGGAAAAAGUAAUCUAUGUUUAGUAUCUUCUUAUGGCAGAGGUAGUAGGUUGGGAUUUUAGUGGAAAGGAUUAUGAGGGAACAUGGUAGGAUAGUGAAAAUGUUCUGCACUGUCUCAGCUGCACUAAUGACAUAUAGCUAUUAAAAUCUAUUAAUUAAAACUUAAAAUUCAUUUCCACUGUCACAGUAGCUACAUUUUAAGUGUUCAAUAGCCACAUGUGGCUACUGCCUACUAAGUUGGACAGUGCAAAUACCGACUUCUAUUAUCUCAGAAGUUCUACUAGAGA